rnacentral:lncRNA from 1 species
UAAGAAGCAAGGUUAGCAUUUUUCUGUCUAACCUUCAACUUGAUAGUUUUAAUAUCCAGCCUAUUAAAUAUAUAUCAGAAAGUUUUCUAGCAGAUAAAUCUCUUAUCAAAGCAAUUUAAGCAAACAACAAAAUGAAGGGGUAAAACAUUUAGUUUUCAGGUAACACAUUCCGCAAGGACUGUGCUCUGUUUUUGUGGUAUUGCACAGGGUUGUUUGAAACUGAAGAUGCUAUACUUGAGGCUUUUUGUGGCGUCGGCUUGUGAAUUCAACCCUGAAGUGAAUGUGUUGCAUUGGUUUCAGGUGCGGUGGUGAUGAAUUACUGAAGAAAUUUCAAUCAGAGUUGUUUGAAAUCACAGAUGGAAACCAGAGGAUAUAGAGGGCCGACUGUAUGUGAGCACUCCCCAAAAUGAAAUACUAAGGUAUGAAUUUAACAAAAUAUCAAAGAAUAACUGAAUAAAUGAAGAGAUAUUUCAUGUUCAUGGAUAGGAAGGCUCAAUAUUAUCAGGAUAUUGAUUCUUUGAAACUUGAUCUAUAGAUUCAGCACAAUCCCAACCAAAAUCCUGGGAAGCUGUAUUGUGGUUAUAGACAAUUAUUUGAAAGUUCGUAUGAAGAGGCAAAAGACCCAGAAUAGUCCAUUCUAUAUUGAAGGAGAAGAACAAAGUUGGAGGACUGACACUACCUGACUUCAAGACUAACUAUAGAGCUGCAGUAAUCAAGACAGUGUGGUGUUGACAAAUAGAUCAAUGGAACAGAAUAGACAGCUCAGAAAAACACCCAUACAAAUAUGGUCAACUGAUCUUUGAUGUAGGAGCAAAGGCAAUACAAUGGAGGAAAGACAGUCUUUUCAACAAAUAGUGCUGGGAAACUAGACAUCCAAGUGCAAAAAAAAAAAAAGAAUUAGACAUAGACUUAUACCUUUCAUAGAAAUUAACUCAAAAUGGAUCAUCAACCUAAAUGUAAAAUGCAUAACAAUAAAACUUCUAGAAGAUAACACAGGAGAAAACCUAGAUGGCCUUGAGUAUAGUGAUGACUUUUUAAAUAGAGUGCCAGAAGCAUGAUUCAUAAAGGAAAUAAUUGACCAGGCACAGUGGCUUACACUUGUAAUCCCAGCACUUUGGGAGGCCGAGGCAGGCGGAUCACCUGAAGUCAGGAGUUCAAGACCUGACUAACAUGGUGAACCCCUGUUUCUACUAAAAAUACAAAAAUUAGCCAGGCGUGGUGGCACACACCUGUAAUCCUAGCUACUCGGGAGGCUGAGGCAGGACAAUCGCUUGAACCUGGGAGGCAGAGGUUACAGUGAGCUGAGAUCGUUCCAGCACUCU